rnacentral:rRNA from 1 species
AACGAACGCUGGCGGCAUGCCUAACACAUGCAAGUCGAACGCCCCGGUUCGCCGGGGAGUGGCGCACGGGUGAGUAACGCGUGGGAACCUGCCCGGCAGUACGGGACAACCGCGGGAAACCGCGGCUAAUACCGUAUACGGCCUUAAGGGCGAAAGAGAUUCGCUGUCGGAGGGGCCCGCGUCGGAUUAGGUAGUUGGUGGGGUAACGGCCUACCAAGCCUGCGAUCCGUAGCUGGUCUGAGAGGAUGAUCAGCCACACUGGGACUGAGACACGGCCCAGACUCCUACGGGAGGCAGCAGUGGGGAAUAUUGGACAAUGGGCGCAAGCCUGAUCCAGCAAUGCCGCGUGAGUGAUGAAGGCCUUAGGGUUGUAAAGCUCUUUCGGCGGGGACGAUGAUGACGGUACCCGCAGAAGAAGCCCCGGCUAACUCCGUGCCAGCAGCCGCGGUAAUACGGAGGGGGCUAGCGUUGUUCGGAAUUACUGGGCGUAAAGGGCGCGCA